AGGAGGGCAUGGUGACUUUCAGCAUGCCGGGACGCCUGACGGGGGCUGUCCCCUCCUCCGCACCGGCUGCGGAGCGCGGAGCGCCCGGUGGGGCGGCGGGGCGGGACCAGGGCGGGACUGAGACCGCCCCGGGUGGGGGUCGCACCGCCCUCGGAUCCUGCCCGUCCCCUCCGAGCCCCGGGCGAUCCCUUCCCGCAGGGAGCGACCCCUGAGGCCCGCCAAAGACGGUGGGAUUCUCGCGAGUUCCCGGCAGAGGCACCGGGAGUUCCCCGAGCCCCUGGAGCAGGAGGACCCGGCUCCGCGGAGGACAACUACACGGAUGGAGAAACCGCAUCCCGAUCCGGAGGGGAGGGAUGCUCAGCCCGCAGCGAGGCGGCCCGCCAUGCCGCAACAUUCCCGGCAGCUCUCUAACCGCCGGAGUUCAGGAAUUCUCUCUCUCACCGUGAAUUUGGGGAGGAGGGUGUUGGGGACAGAGAAUGAACAAGACAAACCAACGAUGGGAAAGAGGCUGACAAAUGCUCGAACAUGACUGCAAAAAUAAUAAUAAAAAACCCAACACAUAGCUUCCCUUCCCACCGGCGAACUAAAAGAAGCCGUAGAGAAAUAAGAUUGCUGUGCUACAAUGCAGCUCUUAACAGGUAUCUGUUAAGAUGGCAUGCAUUCGGUUUGUACUAAUGCAUGCUGCACUGCUGAAUGCAAAAUCCUUCGCCAGAAGCGCCUAUGGAAGGGCCGUUUCUGUUGGUGUAGUGGCGAAAUAAAACAGCAGCAGCUGUGUGUGCCUCGCAUGCAUAGUGUGCCAGAUCAAUCCCACUCGCAUCCUCUCCGUGCUGUUACACCCACUCAUACUGCCAUGCCAGCACAGGCAGGAGGAAAGAUGGACCAUGUGCAAGCCUGUGCAGCAGAAGGGAUGGAAGUAUUGUCCUUAAUUUUCAAACACAAUCCACUAUCCUGUUUUUAAACAUGGUGUUUCUUGCUCAAAUAAAGCACAGAAUCCUGUUUAGUGUUUGUGCUAAUUCAGGUGUACUAAUGUUUUCCAAGAUGUUUUGUUUCCCUCCAUAAACAAGUACAUCUCUUACUGUUUCUUAACUUCUUUACUGUAGCCAGAUGGACCAAUUAAUCUUAUUUCUGAACUUCUUAACUUCUCAAAGACCCUGAAAAAGAAAUGCUUCUCUCUGCUUAAUCAGAUGAUAGAAGAAGUAUCUGCUAAACUGGUCUUUGUUAAUGGUAGGAAAGGAUAAAAGAGGUACAUGAGAUAGAUAAAAGACAGAUGAAGCCCUUUCCUUUGAAGUUUACUUAUUGCCAUUAUAAAAUUAAAAUGUAUAUCCCCAUCAUGAUUUGAGAUUUUAUCAUUUUCAAAUUCAUAUUUGAAAGGCAGGAAAGAGUAACCCAAAGUCCUAAUUUGCAAACGAAGUUCCAUCCAAUCCAGUUUGACAGAAAUUCCAAACUUCUUUUGGGAUGAACUUUGUGCCCAGAGCACCUACGGUUACAGGGCUGAGAUCAGAACCAGAGCAGCAUCUCCUGGGAGAUGGAUGAAGAAAAUCACACACACAGACAAUGGCAAAUCAGCACACUUAGAAGACCACAUGAUAUUUUUGUUUAGUCAAAUACCUAACAUAUUCUGUAACCCAAAUGGCAUGUAUAUUUCUCUUGUGGUAAUGUUUUGUAAAAAUUAUGUUAGUAAGAUUAUGUUUAACCAGGUACAUGCAUUCAGAUUUGCAUCUCAGAUGAUCUAUGUAUGGUUACCAUGAACCUUUAGGUACUCCUUGCUAAAAGACAUAGCACCAAGGGAUUUUUUUUUUUUAACUGGACUACCUAUGUGAAAGGCAUUUCACUUUCCUUAAAACUCUGACUCAAAGUAAGAUGCAUUGCACAAUCUUACCAACCUAGUACUUGAAAACUGACUGGACCUUAUUCUUCAGAAGACCCACUUUCUUCAAAAAUUAAAGUAACAAUAUCCAAAUACGUCCAUAUGGAAUUAAAGAAAAUCUUCAGGCUGAACAAUUCAUCUAACAAGCAUAGAAAUAAAUGCCUCUCAGUCUCCAGGAAACUAAAGGCAGUAUUUCAAAUCCAUGGUGGUCCACUCAGAUCUAUGUGAAGAUUUACAUCAUCAUUAUUGGACAUGAAACUAAAACACUAAUAAAACUAGUUUAUGUUUUUGUGGCA